CAUUCUGUGAGAAAAUGUGUGAAUUGAGUUUCGUCAAGAUCUCGCCCGACAUUUGAGACUUACUUGGGUGCAACGAAAAGUGCAGAAAAUUGAGAAAUCUCCGAGGAAUUGAAUUCCACGUUUAAAGAAAUUCAAUCUAGAAAUGCUGGGAACUCCAUGCCUUCUCGUUUGUGUGCCCUUCGAAAUCGCUCCCCCGAAAAAAUGAAUUAUGACUUCUAGACCGCUUUGUGCAUUUUUUCCUCGCAGUAUUUCUUUCACAAAUCCUCCUCCAGAUGUUGCCGGCAUACGUAGAAGCAUUAUUGAACAUCUCCAUAAAAGAAGAGGCCAGUUAUUUGGAUUAUGGACAUAUCUGCAGGUCUGGCAAACUUUUCUUCUCACCGGAAGCAGGUCCUCAGCACCUUGAUUUGUAGCCUCGUGCAAGGUAUGAGAUACCAGGGACUCAUUUACAUUAUACCCUCUUGGCCAAGAGCAGUGACUCAAUCCUCAUUUUUUAUGCUUCCGAAGUUGAAGAGGAGGAAUCAAAUAAAAGCCUCACGUUCUGUCCGA